UGGGGAAUAUUGCACAAUGGGCGAAAGCCUGAUGCAGCAACGCCGCGUGAGUGAUGAAGGUCUUCGGAUUGUAAAGCUCUGUCUUUUGGGACGAUAAUGACGGUACCAAAGGAGGAAGCCACGGCUAACUACGUGCCAGCAGCCGCGGUAAUACGUAGGUGGCGAGCGUUGUCCGGAUUUACUGGGCGUAAAGGGUGCGUAGGCGGAUGUUUAAGUGAGGUGUGAAAUACCCGGGCUU
rnacentral:rRNA from 1 species